AGCUUUCUAAGAAGUAUGGAGUCCAUGUUUGUGGAGAAGGUGGAGAGUAUGAAACAUUCACUUUGGAUUGCCCUCUAUUUAAGAAGAAAAUAAUUGUGGAUUCAUCAGAAGUAGUCAUACAUUCAGCUGAUGCAUUUGCACCUGUGGCUUACCUACGCUUUUUAGAAUUGCACUUGGAGGACAAGGUGUCCCCAGUACCUGACAACUGCAGAACAUCUAAUUAUAUACAUAAGUCUUGAAAAGUAUUGUUGAACUUUGUUUACUAAGCUAUUUCUAUAUUUUAAAAAUUACAUAACAGUUCUCAAUUAUCAUGUUCCACUUUUUCUCAUUACUUUUUCAUUCUUAUAAAUAUGUAUAUUUAUCAGAAGAGCCAUUGAUUAAUUGGUUAAUGCAUCCUAUCCAUGAUCUCUGUGAUCUGUUCCUUUUUUUCCCCUUUUACUUCAUCUACAGUACUUAUUUCUGUAAUAUUUCUUUGCUUUCAUCACACCAGUUUAUUUUUCUCUUUUCUGCUGCUCUCAUCUCAGCCAAUAAUAUGUUGCAGAGGCAUUUGAAAAUGAGGAUGAAAAGAAAUCACUAUAUUUAGCCAAUCAGGUUUAUUCUACUGAGUGUCACCAUUUUUAUUUUGAAUAUAUUCAUUGUUUCAACAUCGUUGGACAGUCAGGAAAAAUACCAUUAACUCUUACUGGUUAUUUUAUAACUGAUUGAAAAUGCAACUUUUCAGUAUUACCUAUGCUGACUUUAGACUAAUUUUUCAGUUCACAGAAACACUCAGCAGAAGAUACAGAGAGUUCCUACACAUGCACAAUUCCCCCCCUCCCCGCCCCCACCGCCACUAUCAACAUCCCAUACCACAACAGAAUAUUUGUUACAGUUAAUGAAUUUUUACUGACAUGCCAUUAUCACCCAAAGUCCGUAGUUAUGUGACAAUUUACUCUUGGUGGUGUACAUGCUGUGGGUUUGGACAAACAUAUAAUGACUUGUAUCCACCAUUUGAGUAUCAUACAGAAUAGCUUCACUGCUCUAAAAACCCUCCAUCCUCUUCCUACUCAUCCUUCUUUUUUCUCUUAACCUCUGGCAAUCUCUCAUGUUUUGCCUUUUCCAGAAUAUCAUGAAGUUGGACUUAUUCAGUAUGUUGCCUUUUCGGGUUGCCUUCUUUAAGUUACUAAUAUACAUUUAGGUUCUUUCAUAUCUUUUCAUGGUUUGAUAGCAUAUUUCUUUUUUUUUUCAAAUUAAGACUUUAUUUUUUUAGUUUUAGGUUCACAGAAAAAUUGGAGGGUGGGUACAGAAAUUUGCCAAAUACUCCUCACCCCCACACAUGUGUGGUGUCCCUCAUUAUCAAUAUGCCUUGCCAAAGGGGAACAUUUGUUACAAUUGUAAUUACCUACAUGGCAGAUCAUAAUCACUUAGAGUUCAUAGUUUAUAUUACCGUUCACUCUUGGUUUUGUACAUUCUAUGCAUGACAUGUAUCCAUCAUUAUGGUAUCAUGCAAAAUAUUUUCACUACCCCCAUAUUUUCCAUGCUCCACCUUUCCAUGUUUAUUACUCCAUCCAGCCCCUGAAAAUCACUGAUCUUUUUAUUAUCUCCAUAUUUUUGCCUUUUCCAGAAGGUUAUAUAGUUAGAAUAAUUCAGUAUGUUGUCAUUUUUAAAUUGGCUUCUUUCACUUAGUAAUAUCCAUUUAACAUUCCUGCAUGCCUUUACAUGCAUUUUUAAGUGCUUAAUAAUAUUCCAUUAUCUGAAUAUAACAUUAUUUAUCCAUUCACAUACUAAAGGAAAUCUUGGUUGCAUCUAAAUUUUAGCAAUUGUGAAUAAAGCUUCUGUAAUACAUCCAUGUGCAUGUUUUUGUGUGGCGUUUUCAGCUCUUUUGGAUAAAUUCCAAAGAGUAUGAUUGCUGGAUUAUAUGAUAAGAGUACGUUUAAGUUUACGAGAAACCACCAAACUGUCUUCCAAAUGGCUGUGCCAUUUUGCAUUCCCACCAACAGUGAAUAAAGAUUCCUAUUGCUC
rnacentral:lncRNA from 1 species